rnacentral:tRNA from 1 species
CUCGCCAUAGCUCAAUUGGAAGAGCGAAGGACUGUAAUUGUCUAUUGUCAUCCUUAGGUACCUGGAUCGAAACCGGGUGGUGAGA